UACGUAGGGUGCAAGCGUUGUCCGGAAUUAUUGGGCGUAAAGAGCUCGUAGGCGGUCUGUCGCGUCGGCUGUGAAAACCCGGGGCUCAACCCCGGGCCUGCAGUCGAUACGGGCAGACUAGAGUGUGGUAGGGGAGACUGGAAUUCCUGGUGUAGCGGUGAAAUGCGCAGAUAUCAGGAGGAACACCGAUGGCGAAGGCAGGUCUCUGGGCAUUAACUGACGCUGAGGAGCGAAAGCAUGGGGAGCGAACAGG
rnacentral:rRNA from 1 species